rnacentral:misc_RNA from 1 species
UAAUAAGUGUUUUAUGGCACUUUUUUUAAAUCCAUAUCCACCUUGUGUGCAAUGUCAGUCGAUCUUCUCAUGGAGAUCGACCAAACAGUCAACCUUUAUCUUUUAACUCUUUGUCUGAAAAACUAUUAUGAAUAAACAAUUCAAAAUA